rnacentral:rRNA from 1 species
AACGAACGCUGGCGGCAGGCUUAACACGUGCAAGUCGAACGCACCCUUCGGGGUGAGUGGCAGACGGGUGAGUAACGCGUGGGAACGUGCCCUUCAGUUCGGGAUAACCCAGGGAAACUUGGGCUAAUACCGGAUACGUGCGAGAGCAGAAAGAUUUAUCGCUGAAGGAUCGGCCCGCGUCUGAUUAGCUAGUUGGUGGGGUAAUGGCCCACCAAGGCGACGAUCAGUAGCUGGUAUGAGAGGAUGAUCAGCCACAUUGGGACUGAGACACGGCCCAAACUCCUACGGGAGGCAGCAGUGGGGAAUAUUGGACAAUGGGCGCAAGCCUGAUCCAGCCAUGCCGCGUGAGUGAUGAAGGCCUUAGGGUUGUAAAGCUCUUUCGUCCGGGACGAUAAUGACGGUACCGGAAGAAGAAGUCCCGGCUAACUUCGUGCCAGCCGCCGCAGUAA